rnacentral:rRNA from 1 species
UACGUAGGGUGCAAGCGUUAAUCGGAAUUACUGGGCGUAAAGCGUGCGCAGGCGGUUUUGUAAGACAGAUGUGAAAGCCCCGGGCUUAACCUGGGAACUGCGUUUGAAACUGGGAGACUUGAGUGUGGCAGAGGGGGGUGGAAUUCCACGUGUAGCAGUGAAAUGCGUAGAUAUGUGGAGGAACACCGAUGGCGAAGGCAGCCCCCUGGGUUAACACUGACGCUCAUGCACGAAAGCGUGGGGAGCAAACAGG